AUGAACGCUGGCGGCGUGCCUAAUACAUGCAAGUCGAGCGAACGGACGAGAAGCUUGCUUCUCUGAUGUUAGCGGCGGACGGGUGAGUAACACGUGGAUAACCUACCUAUAAGACUGGGAUAACUUCGGGAAACCGGAGCUAAUACCGGAUGAUAUUUUGAACCGCAUGGUUCAAAAGUGAAAGACGGUCUUGCUGUCACUUAUAGAUGGAUCCGCGCUGCAUUAGCUAGUUGGUAAGGUAACGGCUUACCAAGGCAACGAUGCAUAGCCGACCUGAGAGUGUGAUCGGCCACACUGGAACUGAGACACGGUCCAGACUCCUACGGGAGGCAGCAGUAGGGAAUCUUCCGCAAUGGGCGAAAGCCUGACGGAGCAACGCCGCGUGAGUGAUGAAGGUCUUCGGAUCGUAAAACUCUGUUAUUAGGGAAGAACAUAUGUGUAAGUAACUGUGCACAUCUUGACGGUACCUAAUCAGAAAGCCACGGCUAACUACGUG
rnacentral:rRNA from 1 species